rnacentral:rRNA from 1 species
GACGAACGCUGGCGGCGUGCUUAACACAUGCAAGUCGAACGGAAAGGCCCUGCUUUUGUGGGGUGCUCGAGUGGCGAACGGGUGAGUAACACGUGAGUAACCUGCCCUUGACUUUGGGAUAACUUCAGGAAACUGGGGCUAAUACCGGAUAGGAGCUCCUGCUGCGUGGUGGGGGUUGGAAAGUUUCGGCGGUUGGGGAUGGACUCGCGGCUUAUCAGCUUGUUGGUGGGGUAGUGGCUUACCAAGGCGUUGACGGGUAGCCGGCCUGAGUGGGUGACCGGCCACAUUGGGACUGAGAUACGGCCCAGACUCCUACGGGAGGCAGCAGGGGGGAAUAUUGCACAAUGGGCGGAAGCCUGAUGCAGCAACGCCGCGUGCGGGAUGACGGCCUUCGGGUUGUAAACCGCUUUCGCCUGUGACGAAGCGUGAGUGACGGUAAUGGGUAAAGAAGCACCGGCUAACUACGUG